UGCAGCCUCGUGGUGGGCAGCUCUGGGCUGUGUGAUAGGCUCGUGUUGGGCUCUGCCAGGGCGCCCUACUAUCUAGAAGGGCUUGAGCUGCGUGAGAGGGAGAAGGCGUGCAUUUUCUCCGGAUUUACUUCCCUGCUCCUUAAAGGCCGUUGUGCUGUGGGAUCUACUGGGAGCGCGCUUUCUAAAGACUACUGUCUCGCACAACAGGUUUGCAAAGUGAAGCUUGUUGGUCUCUGACAUUGAGUGGGACUGGAAGGGGCUUGCCUCGGGUUUCCUUAACACAUGGAAACUGCCGGAAGAGUGAAACAAGAGGACCUGAACCUCGUCUGUGUUCCCACUUCCUUCUGGCAUUAUUUAUUGUACAAUAGCCAAGAUUUGGAAGCAGCCCAAGUGCCCAUUAUUAGAUGAGCGAUGAAACAGCAGUGAUACAUUUACACAGUGGAAUACUACUCAGCCAUAAAGAGAAGGAAAUCUUACCCUUUGUGGCAGCAUGGAUGAACCUGAAAAGGAAGGACAUUGUGAUACACGCUACCACCUUGAUGGGCCUUGAAGACACUAUGCUCAGUGAAAUGAGCCCAUCACAAAAAGACAAAUACUGUGUGAUUCCACUCAUAGGAGGUCCCUAGAGUCUUCAGUGUCAUAGAGACAGAGAUGGCUUCAGUUUGUCUUUCAGCAGGGCUGUGAGGAGGAAAAUUUAAUGCUGGUAGGUGAAAUCAACAUGCCCCAUUUUUAGGGGGUUAAACAAAGAUGAGAGACAGAAAGUGACUCAUCAAAAGUCUGACACUCAGUGGUCAAGCCUGGGAGAUUCUAAUUGCUCACUGAAGACUCUGCCCUUUAGGGUAUUUAUGUUGAGUUGUCAUUAUGAACAUUUCGGCAUCGGAACCCAGUGAAGUGUACUUGCUCCUUGUGUCCCACAAUGUUGGCCAGGGAGCCACACUACUUGUUCUUUCCACACAGAUACUCAGGGACUCAGGGCUUCUCCAACGUGUGGCCCCAUCAAGUGUCCUGGAGGCCUGCUGACCCUCUGCAUUCAGUUGGCAAUAAGCACAGAGCAACAGCAUGCAGGAUGGAUGGAUGGGUGGGUGGUAUCAGGAAGGCCUGGGAGGAGCCACUCAUGACUGUUCCCACCUCUGGCCAGACCUGAACUGCAAAGCAAGAGAGACUCGGAAAUGCAGGACAGUCCAAACACCAUGCAUCUCAGAAGUCAGGAGAGCACACCCAUCCUUUUGCCCCUGUAUCUGUGCAGCCAACUCCAUCCACCUUCAGGAAGAAUAUCCAGAGAAAAGAAUGAAAGUAUGUCAUGACAACCAACAUAGCCCUUCAAAGGAUUAUGAGAAAAGAAAACACUGUCCACUUAUUUCUAAAGUAAGUUUACUUACUGUCCAGACCAACUUUCUUCCUUCCUGUUCUCCUUCUACAAAAAAACAACACAUCAUUCUGGAGCCACCUAGAUGGGGCAGGUCCACGGCCAGCCAUCCCCACAUUGAUGACAACCAUGAACCCGGGACAGAAUAGAAAAGGCUGGUAACUGUGGAUUCUGGCAAGGAAGCAUCAGCGAGGAGACCAGCACAGUGGUGACCUGACUGGUUUUCCCUCCUUAAUACCAGCUUUUUCUUAAAGGCAGUGAGUCUCAGUACUGCUCCAUGGGUGGGACGGGAACGACUCAGAGGACUGGACAAAGGGCUUGUUGGAGCCAGAGUGGGGGACUGCCAGGGUGCCAGGGACCCUUUUCUCUUCUCCUUUCCUGGUUCUGCUCCUACCCUGAAGCUGCAGCCAUACUGGGGUGUAAUCUCCUAAAAUGCUGAUGAAAAACCUGUCUCUGGCAAGAACCUGGGAAAACAGGUUCUUGUACUCCAAAGAAUUUGGAAAAAUCCUGCUUAUUUUUCCCCUCUCUUUUUCUCUUGCCACUUUGUUUUGAAAGCCACCCAGUUAUGGAAGCUGUAGUACAGUGGAGGGGAGAGGAAUCUAAGAUUCUGAGAGAAACCAGAGCUUCUAGCUGACAGACCUGGUGCAGGAGGAGACAGGAGCUGGGCCCGCACAGAACACACCCCAGAGGCCAGCACAGACUGAGCCAGAACUGUGGUCUGAUCAUAAUGUUCCCACAGACUUAAACAGUGGUCCAUCAACCUCUGCCAUUAAGUGGUAGGAAGACAGACCAUGAAACCCCAUCCACUAAGGGCAACACAUCGCUAGCUUCACCUGAAGUUUGAGGGAGAAAACAAUUGAAUUUGAAUGGGCACAGAGGUCAAGCAGAAGAAAGCCAAAGCUCCAGAGCCCCAGCCUACAAACCCGCAAACCCUGGAUUCUAGU